CAAAGAGUUCUCAAACUAGGGUGACCAAAUGUGCCAAUUUCAUAGGGAUAGUCCGGAUAUUCAGGGAUUUUUCUUAUAUGGGUACCUAAUACCCCCUGCGCUCUGUCCUGACUUUUCAUACUUGCUGUCUGAUCACCCU